rfam:Erinaceus europaeus cont1.750437, whole genome shotgun sequence.
UUUGGGACUGUAGGUCCUUAGGUGUCAGUCGAUAUGCAUUGAUUCUUCUGCUUGGGAAAAAGAAACAAGGGCCCAUCUUAGACGAAAAAAAAACCAUCUCACCGUCAGUGAAAUUCCUAGCCCCAGACUGUGUUUCUGAGACCCUGUACAUUGAAACACGUGUCCUUAAAGCAGUCCUGCUUG